rnacentral:hammerhead_ribozyme from 1 species
AUCCAACUGACGAGUCUCAGAACAGGACGAAACGCGCAUCCUGGAU